AACGAACGCUGGCGGCAGGCCUAACACAUGCAAGUCGAACGCCCCGCAAGGGGAGUGGCAGACGGGUGAGUAACACGUGGGAACGUACCCUUUGGUUCGGAACAACUCCGGGAAACUGGAGCUAAUACCGGAUAAGCCCCUCGGGGGAAAGAUUUAUCGCCGAAGGAUCGGCCCGCGUCGGAUUAGCUAGUUGGUGGGGUAAAAGCCUACCAAGGCGACGAUCCGUAGCUGGUCUGAGAGGAUGACCAGCCACACUGGGACUGAGACACGGCCCAGACUCCUACGGGAGGCAGCAGUGGGGAAUAUUGGACAAUGGGCGCAAGCCUGAUCCAGCCAUGCCGCGUGAGUGAUGAAGGCCUUAGGGUUGUAAAGCUCUUUCGCCAGGGACGAUAAUGACGGUACCUGGAUAAGAAGCCCCGGCUAACUUCGUGCCAGCAGCCGCAGUAAGAC
rnacentral:rRNA from 1 species